CUGGGUUGGGUUGUACAACGUACAUUGAAAGCUAGCGUCGCAAGCAUACAUAGACUGGAAUAUUUAGAGAUAUCUACUAGAUAUUGGAACGGUGAUAUUGAUUAUUAGAAUGACUGGCUUCCAGGUGGUGGCCCUCGCAGAAGCAUGCUUUCUCUCUUCAGUUUUUCUGCCCUGACUGUCUCUAAUUUGCUCCUAUCAAUACUCUUCUCUCCAGGUUCUUUUGGAGGUCUGCCUCUUUUUUUAGGUUGAAUAUCACCUGAUGUGCUUAUAUCCUUUCGAGGCCUGCCCCUCUUUUUAGGUUGAAUAUCACCUGAUGCACUUCUAUCCUUUCGAGGCCUGCCCCUUUUCUUAGGUUGAUCACUAGGUUUCAGACAUACUAGAGCAUUUUCUCCUGCUGAUGCUGACGCCUGAAGCCACCCUGGUAGUGGUAGGUUGUUUGACUGUUGGCCAUUUACCGCUCUGACCACCAUCUGAUUGCUAGCAACAUUAGUUCUGUAGUCAGGAACAACAUUCUGAUGUUUGAAUUUGUCCAUCACAAGUGUGUUGAGCGGAAUGGUUAUGUCCAACGGUAGCAGGAUCUCCUCCAGUUCGUGCCACUCAAGAUCUUCCUGGUCACCAUCUUCAUAGACAACGGUGUACCAAUUGUUUCCACUGUCGUACCUGACAACUAUCCCUGCAUAGUACUUGUCUCCAAACCACUUCCUCACUUUCCGCUCUACUAGCCAUUCACCAAAGCGAUGAUCAGCUCGAGAUCGCGGGGCAUCUCUUACUGCAAGUUGUGAACCAGAUGCGAAAUCAGGAGGAAAGUCUGGGACACCAUUGAUAACGAUGGCAGGCUCUCUGGGUACUUGAACAACAGGUGCAGUGUCUGACUCUUGCAUGUCCUUCCUCCCCUCCAUGACCUGAUACUGCAUCGAUUCCUUGGAUUUGGCUAGAAACAUCCUGGAGGAGAAAGAAAAUAGUUUCAUCCACAAAAUGGGUCAUCGUAAGCAAGAAAACUCAAAGAACAAGCAAGCAUAAGUCAAACACUUUCACAGCUACAAUGCAGUAUUUUGACGAGUCAGGCAUGUCGAAAAAUAAGAGAUAGCAAGCAACACUUGUACUCCCUCUGUCUCAGUGUCAAAAAACGUCUUAUAUUUUGAGACAGAGGGAGUAUUUAGGAAGCACUGCACAUCACAUUCGCAUCAGUACUGAUACCUGCAUCUCUACUUUCAUCUAGGGAACACUUGGGAUAUUAACCAGCUACAGAUGCAUUUCUGUUUUUGCAUCUGUACUUCACCUAUGCGCCAGAGUGCUGUAUUAGUGCGAUGUGUAAAAUGUACUAGUGUAUCAAAAAUAAAAAUAAAAAUCCAUUAAGCACUAUCUACAAACAACAGAGCAAUGCACACAAUCUCCACAAAUAUCAGUUGCCAAGUAAAAUGCCCGCUGUGUAUUAGGGGGAAAAAUGCCCCCACUGUGUACACAUGCUUCAAUUGAAAAAUUGACAAAUUUCCGAGAACAGCAGCCACUAGCAGCAGCACAAGUGCAGAACCACCCAUCCAUGGCACAACAGAGCAGUAGCACAAGCAGCAGCACAACAUCAGUAGCUCAAGCGGCAGCAGCUAGCGCACGCACGAGAGUGGAAGAGGAGCUCACUGUCCGGCGACGAGGCAGAUGCAGAUCCGCGGCGGCCGGCGUUGGAGAGGAGGCAGAUUCGGGUCGUUGCCGAGGAGGGGAUGUCUAGGAGGGCGGUGGCGAGGAGGGCGGUGGCGAGGAAGAGGGAGGGCGUCGGCGUCCCGCCUGGAUGCUCUGCACCACGGGGGAGGUGGGGCGGCCUCCGGCGGAAGAUGCGUGCACUACGGAGUAAGCGAGGGGGCAGCGACGGCGGGAUCUGGGGGAGCGGCGACCGGCGGCUUGUGGCGGCGCUGGUGGGAUUUGGGAACCGCUAGCACGCGCAAGCAAGAGGGAAAUGAGUUCUUUUUUCUUGAAGAAGAAAGGAGUCGGGUGGGGAACUGGGGAUGCGUUUAUUUAUUUUUCGCCAAUACACAAUCAUCGCAUUUGAUAGAAGAAGUUAGAAUGAGUAUAUGAGCUUGUAAAACACAUGACAUGGAAAUAAGAAGCGUGAACAUGAUGCUCGAAGCGGAGAGACAUAACAUGCUCGACCCAAACAACGAAGAACACGGCUAAACUCACCAACUGGAGAAGCAAUCCAACCAACAACUAGCCGACCAAAACUCCGAAGCCAGCACCGAGGAUGCCGCGAGCAACCAAGAUAACGCCUUCAUAAAGGAGAAUAGUGACACCUAGACACCAUCGUCAUCUAAUCCGAAAACCCGGACCUAGAGUUUCCCCCAAUGCUCGAAGAGGGCACAUAAAACGGCCAUGGCAGCGUCUUCAAGAAGGGGACGACACCCACGGGUGUCGCCGCUGCCAGCAUAAGAUGUAGGGUUUAGCCCUGGCCAAUUCCAAGCCAUCGCAACACUGUCGAAGAGGAGGUCGUCGGGCAUAGGCCGGAGCAUGAGUGCCGAUGGGCUAAAGGAGAUGGAAGGGGACGCAGCUCCGGAACGUGCCAGAGACGUAGAGAUGCGCCGGGAUGAACGGCCAACCAAGGCACCCGCUGGGUGGUGGUGGUGCAGAGACGCCGAGGAGCCAAAGAGCCAAAUGAGCCAACGGGCCGAAAAGAGCGCAUCUCCCGAGGCUCGUCCAGUCCGAAGCCGCACCGGCCGGCCGUGAACGCAGGAAAUGGACGCAGGUCCAUGCCCACCGGGCUGAAGACGCCUCUGGAGGGGAUGGUGGUGGUGGUGGUGGUCGUCGAAGUGGUCUCGCACGCAGCCAAACUCCCAACCGGUCCAAAAGGCAACCACCGACGGGAACAACCGCAUCCAACAGCCUCCAUGGCCGCCUCGCGAAGAGGCGACCCUGAAGCUCGAGCAGAGGGGUGGGUGGGGGUCGGGAGGGGGUGGAGCCGCAGCUAGCAGGGCUCAACCGGCCGCCAUGGCUGGCCGGACGGAGCAUUGCAAUCAGCUGGAAAGGGCGUCCAAAUCGCAUCCGGGGCGGACAGUGAGCCACCACAGGGGAAGUUCGGCCGAGGCAGGCCACCCACUCCGCCAGCAAGCAGGGGAAGCCGGGGGAGGCAGCCUUCGCCGCUGCCAAACCAGAUCUGGCGGGGGAAGAAGGAAAGAUAGCCCCACCGCACCAUCCCAAGGCCCGCCGUGGUUUCGUCGGCCAGCCCUCCACCAGCAGCGACGCGGGGUAGGUGGAGGAUGGGUGCCGGCCGCCGGCGUCUAGGGUUCCCCUGAGUCGCCCGACUCGGCGAUGCGGGGGUCAAGGGCGGGCAGGGUAUUUAUUUUGCCAUUUUCAUUAAUAAUCAAUAAAUAAAUAAGAAAUUAUUAGGUUAAUUAGCAGAAAAUUGGGCUAAAACCAACACAAUUCAACCCACACACAGUGCCCAACAUCGACCAACACGUCACUUGACGUGUAGAGUAGCAAAAAAAGGCAACCAUCGAAGAGGCCGCAAGCACAUCAUCGUCAUUGUUUGCCCGCGAACAAACGAACCCAGACUUCAUAGUAGAGCCCCACCAACGAACCCAACCCGCAAAUAGUUGUACACAACCCAUGAUGGCCCAUGCCAACAACAGGCCACACGCGCUAGCGACCGACAGCUUCAACUUUGUCUACAACCAUCGCAAGGGAAAUAUGCAUGACUUUCACCAACUGGGCCCACCGCAAGCGGCCAUCAAGUGCCCACCAUCAUCACCAGUUGGACUCAUUCCACAGCGGCUUCGACUCCACAACAACCCAGUGAACCACAAAAGAACUCACCGGACCCAUCGAAAAGAGUCGGCUACCAGAGUUCGAGCCGCGGCCUAAACUCAUCUUGACGCCAUCAUUUGUGCCAAACAGAUGUCGGCGCCCCUAGUACAACUCCCCCAACCACCGGUUUCCCAGUCGUAGUCAGCUCCGAAACGAUGCCCUCAAAGGAGGAGAAAGACACGAAGACGCCUCCAUCACCCGACCCAAGAGUUUGAGGUUUACCUCGGGAGACAAGGCCGUAGGGAGAAGGAUGAGCACACCUCCAUAACAGACGGUUUCAAGAAAGAUUGUGACACUUGUGACCAUCAGCCACUGUCUGACCUGGAGAAUACUGAUACUGUAAAUAAACUGAUCAAGUGCCUGAUUACUUGUGGUGGGGAAGCUCCAGCGUGAAUGCUCCGAACAAAAGGAUUAUAAAUCGAUAUUAGAUCAGAAAAGGUUUCGUGGUGUAGUUGGUUAUCACGUCAGUCUAACACACUGAAGGUCUCCGGUUCGAACCCGGGCGAAGCCAUCUUUUUAUGUCAGCCAACAGCUCCUUCAGUAGUGUUUUCUUCUAGUUUAAUUAUUCUCUGAAGUCGCACUAGAAGGAUCACCGGCCGGUCUGUUCUUUUCGCUCCCCUUCUUUCAUCUUCUUUUUCAACCAAAACUGUGUGUCAUGGUGUUCUGUUUUCCUUGUCAGGUAAAUAUGGAAGGGUUGAGAAGGAAUCGUUCAGAGAAGAGAGACGCCGACCGGGUACAGCCAGCGCGCUGGAGCAAGUAGAUCUCCAUCUCCACCUGUACCACGCAGAUUGCUUUGCUCCUCCUCCCUUUCCUCGUGGCAAUUAGCCGCCUCUGCUCGCUCCGACACGGCCUACCUUGCAGCAUGUAUGAAUGAAGAAGCCGACGACGGGUCAGCGGUGACUGUCGUCAGCGGUAGAAAUUUUGUUCCCAAAUACAGGAUCACUGCACGUCUUCGUAGAUCCAUUAGUCAAACACGUUGAUGGCGGCUAGAACACAAAAUACCAAAUGCCUAUCAUGGCCGUUAGUUAGCGGUGACACGCCAGAGCAGCACACCGCGCCUUACUGGAUAUUCCUUUUGAGCUACGCUUUGGCAUCCUGAUGUCUCCUAUUCUCAAGUUCACUACAUUUCUACAUAUGCAUGCAUAUGCAUGUAUGUUGCUACUUCCUAGCUAACCUGCACUACCUUCCAUUUCUCUAGCUUGUUUCUGCUAACAAGGCACACGGUUUUAUAGGAGAGAAGACUAGUGAAACACUUGAAGCAAAGAGCGAGCUUUCUCCAUCAAUCGCAAAGAUCCAAAAAUUGAUUAGCGUGUCCUAUACAUUGUGGUUGGUCGAGAGCCUUUAUCUACAUUGAAACCGUUCUAGGACAUAUUAUUUUCUAGAAGAUAUUCACAGAUAAAUGAUUGUCCACAUAGAGGCCUUCUCAUUCAUAUGCGAUGCUUUUGCGCAGUCCUUUAACGGUCAUUUUAAAAUUUGGUGAGCCAGCUCAACUCAUUAUUUUUCAUGUCCAUACUGUAAUAAAUUAAAUAACUAGCACUAUUCCCAAAGAAGAACUAAGGGCAUGGCCAAUGCAUAGCCUCAAACUGAUGCCCCGCAGACCAUGUAGGCUCGGAUGUCAGAAAGAUUUGGUUCGGAUGGUACUAUGGGAUUUUCAGGAGGAGGCACGUGCUUGGGAGGAAAAGAGAGUGGUCCUAAGAUAAAAGGUAUAAAAACUAGAGUAGAUGCAUCUGUACCCUAUUUUUUUUUCAUUUGCUUGAUGAGGCCCACCGGCUGAUGUUUUCAUUGUAGAGGGAAAACAAAUGAAGGUGUCUGAACCUACUUUUUCUCAUGGGGCAACUAUAUGGUGAUGCUUCCAUAGUUCAUGCGCCAACUAGCACUCGGAUGGAAAGCAAUGUAUGGCACAUGUAUAUGUCAUCAUAGGUAGAUAGGUGAUCAAAUAAAGGAUCAUAUGCUUAUCUCCUUGCUAAAAAAAGACUAGUACAAAUUUAUUCAAACAUUAGUUGGGUACGUUCUAAUUUUUGGGACAUUAGCCAAUAAAAAAUAGCUAAUCAUAUUGUAGGCAUAAAAUUCUCAUCUACUUGUCUUAUUAAGAACUUUUGGCAUAUUGGACCACAUGUGCGACCAUAUUAACAAAAAAGACCACCCCUGAACAUAAUUGACAAAACUACCAAGGCAUUAGGCCCUACAGCCGACACAUAGCACCUGCCGCCAUAGCUGGAGGUGGCAGGGCCUUCCGCCGUAGCCCGUGACAGCAUGUUGAGCAGAACGACUCCCAAGUCUGAUGGGAACAGAAAACGGAAGAGGUAGGCCCCACCACCACAAGCUGUGGUGGCACCCUAUGACGUGGAUCCUGCCGCCAUGCACCAUGGCGGCAAUAUUGUUGCUGCUGCUCAGGACUAGACAACGCGCUACACUCCUGUCGGUUGUUGGCAUGGUUGGCAUCGCCUUUUGUGCCGAAUGUGCUCCAGCCGACGACAGGGAUUGGUUCCCAAGCGAUGUUGAUUCCCACGCACAUCGAAUCUCUCUUCAUCAUUCCCGCUUAUUUUUUCGCCAUAGCACUCAUUAUCCGAGCCUAUAAAAUAAGCCAUCGAACCUCUCUUCGUCCUCCAUCGAGCAACCUUCCUUAGCCAUUUCUCCAUUCAUGUCUGGUGACCCUUCAUAUCGUUUUGCUCCAACUAUGUCUCAUUUGCUUUUGCCAGGUGCGGAAAGAAUGCAGCGUGCUAGUAGGGGAAGUGUGCGUUUUGGAGGACUGGAUAACACCUCGCGUGUUGCUAAAUAUUAGAAUAUAUGAAAGUAUUACCAUACCACGUUCAUCGAUCCUAGAGGUAAAUCAAGGGCAGAUACAUGCAUUCAAAUUUAAUUAUUUAUUAUUGAGAAACAAAAAUAACAAAUCAAUAAUGUGGAUCAUUUUCAUGUGCUUGAUGAUGUGGAGGGUUUGCAUGUGGUGGAAAGUGAGAAAUGGUAAGUUGAAUGGUUGCAUGGUGCUUGAUGAUGUGAAGGGUGUGUGUGUUGUAGCAAGUGGAAAGUUAAAGCUUUAUUGGUUGCAUGUGCUUGAUGAUGUGGAUGACUUGCAUGUAUAUUUAAAUGGAAGAUGGUAUAUGUGAUUAGGUGUAUAGGCUGCUCGUUAAGAUAAACAAGAUAGUGGGGAUGAACUUCUUAUGUAUAUAGGAUUAGUUAGUAGUGAUAGCCACCUGACGUGGUUGGGUAAGUGUUUUUCCAAGACUAGUCUCCCGGAGAAGCUCCGGAAAGGAACCCAGAGGAAACUCGACAAGAACUUUUGCAGUUGCCUGGAAGGUGGGACAGAAUUGUUGAACUCAAAUAUAUGCAUGCGCGUAUUACUGGGUUACCUUUUCUUCCCGGCCAUCAAAAAAUAACUUUUCGGCAGAAGCAAUAUGAGGACCACAUUAAGGUAAUUGCCAUUUCAUAAUGCACCCAGUUAGACCAUAUGUUCCUCGUUCUAAUUUUGUAUUAUUGUUAUUUAUAAUUUGUAGAGAUACCCUAAAGACACGGAAUUUUUUAACAAGGAGAUCUUCAACUUUGGGUGGAUGAAGGUCAUUUGGGGCCCUAUACCUAAGGGGACAAUACCAUGGCAAAGUUUUGCAUCAGUGAGGGGUGGCGCGAGCUCAAAUAACAUGAACAAGAACAUUGAUGACUUUAUGCCGACCAAACGAGCUCAAAACAGGUCCAAGUGUCAUGUUGCAUUUGCGAAGGUGACGCUAGCUCUAAGCAAGUGAAGGGCAACGAUGGUGACUUUAUGCCCAAAAGAAUGAGCCCAAAAGAAAUUCAAGGGUUGUGCAAACUCGAAGAGCAGUAGGUCAGGUAAGUGUGAUGCAUAUGCCGAUCACCCGAAGACAUACACAGGUACAUGAGUAUUACGGCCAUAGUUGCCAGAAAGGAUCGUGGGGUAGCUGAUGACACCAGCAGUGAAGGAAUCGGGGGCUAGAGCCCCGAGCAUCCAGGGCAUGUAUCCCAAUGGCUGGGGGACCUUGUGAAACACUCCACUGACGGGCAUUAAAUGUCUGCCCAAGCUAUCCCCCGUAGCCCACCACAGGCCUAUGAAGAUAGGCCAUCAUGACAAAGACCAAGGCAAGCAUCCUGAGCCAUUAAGGGUAGUGUUUCACCGGUCAGAUUGAUGUGACCCGACCUUGGCUCAUACUUUGAACCAAAGGAGGCCGGUGCGACACAUCACAUCAAGCAUAAGUAUUCGAGCACCUAACACUCUCAACAGUGUCAGGUCAUCCACUAACGAUGAUGACAAGUUGCACACAACGCCUACAACUCUGGAUACUCGUUCACACAUGGUUAGAUGACCACUGUGGUACCCCCGGGCCUAUAUAAAGGGGAGGACCAAGGUCGCCUAGAGGACAAGGAAAAACACAUAUCCCAACCAGUGCCAAGCUCAUCAGCAUACACUACCAAUCCCAAGGAAAACACACAGUAGUAGCAUUCCCCCGAGGAAGGCAAGAAGAGUAGAAUUAAGAGUGCUCGGGCACUCUAGCAAGGACCCCGACCAUCACUCAUCGCACCCCGACCACCAUAUUAUAACACCACAAGCACUUGUACUCCUCCAUUCCAUAUCAAUACAAGAAGUAGGAUUUUAUGCCGACAUGGCGACCUAAACCUAUAUAAAAUCCAUGUGUCUUUGUAUGUUCUCUCGCUCGUGAUUUGAGGAAGUGUUUUAGCCCCUGGUCGAACUCACAAAUACGGGGUAUCCUUGAUCCCUGGUGUCUUGAGUACACGCUCCAGUAUCUGGCGCGCCAGUUAGGGGGAUAGGGCUUUGCGACCCACAUAAGCAUCCACUUGGAGAUAGUUUGACAUGGCCAGUCGGUACCAGCAGUUGCGUGAACUUGGCCUUCUCCUCCUAAAGAUGAGCGGCCAGGUGGAAGACAGAAUCGGUGAAGGGCCUGUGGGGAUGAGGACCCAUAGACAUACGGUGGAUUGUCCAUACGACACAAGCAUGACUCUAGCAUCGGCCUUGAUAGCUCAUGUCGUUAGCUUUCUAUCAAGCUUCAGUUCGUCGAAAUCAGAGUUCGUUUGCAAAAGUAACGGCUGUUUUGGUCCUACCCGUUUACCUGGCCAGGCGAUUGUACAUUGUACUUUGGCAGUUCUCCAGUUCCCUCAUUGAGCGGUACUACGGGACCAAGUACCGGUCCAACUACCGCUCGAGGGGUGAUUCUCCCUCGAUUUUGGCAGCGGUGCUCGGGAGGUGGCCUAGCGGUUGUUCCGGUUAUUUCUUAAUGACUAGUAUCCAUCGCUCCAGCGCGACCCAUUUGGGAGGAAGUCGUGCAGCAAAGAUCAGAGCCCAGCAACUCCACACGCACUGCAAGAGCGGACUGGAGCAUCACAUCCUUCAGGAUGGUAGCCAAAGCAAUCAACAAGGAAGGCAAUGAAUCCUGAAGAAGAGUCUUUAUGUUGGACAGUGCCUCACGGAUCUCAGAUGUUGAUGGUGGCACAACAAUCGAAGCCUAAGCACUAGUAGAAAAAGGGUCAAAUGUCAAGCACAUUAGUGCCGGUUUGCUUUUGAGCCGGCACUAAUGUGUGCAUUAGUGCCGGUUACAACGGCUAGCCGGCCGCUUUCAUUAGUACUGGUUCGUGGCCGACCUUUAGCACCGGUUCGUGCCACGGACCGGUACUAAAGUGAGUGGUGGCAGGAUGUUGUCAGUCCGGGGCCCCUCCAGCACCUUUAGUACCGGUUCGUGGCAUGAACCGGUGCUAAAGGUCAUCCUACAUAAACCCUUCGUCCACCCGAGCUCGCUCUGUUCUUCCCCUUUCCCCUCUCCUCUCUGUUCUUCCCCUCUUUCUCUCGAGCUCAUUACACAUUUUGCCCAAAAUUUGUCAAGAUUUGAAGGCCCCCAUCCAUUCAAAUGAUCACAAAGGUUAGCAACUUUGUCCUUUCAUCUCUCAUUGCUAGAUUAGCUCUUGCAAUGCUUUGUAUAGUGAUUAAUUUAUGAGUUUAGUAAUUUGGGAGGAAAUAUAUGUGCUAGUAUUUGAUUUAUAUGCAAUUUGAGGUCAAAAAAUAACACUUAGUUUGCAUAUGUAGGUGUGGUUUACUUGGUGCCUUCUAAAUCUCCGUCGUAACCACAGUCGAUCGCCCGCACCGUUCCGUCGCCGGCACCACCUUGUGGUGAGCCUCUUGUUCAUGAAUGUUUUACAUUACCAAAUUGAUGUUUGUGUGAUUUGGAUAUAUAGUUACUCGUAUAAUUAUCUUACCCUUACGUUGUUUGUUAUACAUAGUGCCAUGGUUUUGAUAUACAUCCCCGUCGGCCCUCGUCCUUGUUAUGAUUCGGAUGUGGUAUAUUCUCUUUUAAAACUAGUUGUUGCAUUUCGUGUUUAUGACAAAUUAUGCCCAUCAAGUUGACAUAGAUAUUUUUGUCUAGGAGGUUUGUGAACCAGAAAUUCCAACCGACCCUAUUGUCGAGAGGUUAAAUUUAGUUGAAAGAGAAAACGAGUAUUUGAAAGAAAAAUUGAAAAUAAUUGAGGGGGAGAAGAUGGAAUUGGAGUUGCAUGUUGCCGAUGUCGUUGAUGAUCACAAGAUCAAGAUGGAGAAAAUGCGCUUGAAGAUUAGAAAGAUUAGAAAAUAUGCCAUUGAUAGUGAGGCUUGGUAUCAUUAUGCUUACCUUAGUUGCGAUCUUGAUCGCAUUUGUUGUUGCAUUUAAAUUCUUUAGUUGGAGAGUUAUUUGUUUGUUGCAUUUAAGUCUUGUAUGAACUUUAUGUAUGAACUUGUAUUAAUUUGGUCUUUUCGGUGUUGUGUAAUGAAGAUGAGCCGACAAUGGAUGUACGAUGACCGAUGCUCUCCCGAGUUCAUUAAUGGCAUGCAAACUUUUCUGCUUGCGGCUGAGGCAAACAAGCGGGCGGAUGGUUUUAUGCCUUGUCCAUGUUUAGUCUGUAAGGAUGAUCACAAUUACUCUACGUCAAGAACCAUUCACGUCCACCUGUAUAAGUCCGGUUUCAUGCCCCACUAUAAUGUUUGGACCAAGCACGGAGAAAGAGGGGCUAUGAUGAAAGACAAUGAAGAAGAAGAGGACGACGACAACUAUCUUGGCCAUGGGUUCCCUGAAUACGAUGAUACAACAAUGGGGGAAGAAGUUGAGCCGGCAAUGCGGGAAGAAGCUGAAGAAGAGGCAUCAGAUGAGCCCGCUGAUGAUCUAGGUCGGGCCAUUGCCGAUGCAAAGAGAAACUGCGCAAGUGAUUUGGAGAAGAAGAAGUUGCAACGCAUGUUAGAGGAUCACAAGAAAUUGUUGUACCCGAAUUGCGAAGCUGACAAGAAAAAGUUGGGCACCACACUGGAAUUGCUGAAAUGGAAGGCAGAGAAUGGUGUAUCUGACAAGGGAUUUGGAAGGUUGCUGGUAAUGAUAAAGAAUAUGCUUCCAAAGGACAACGAAUUGCCCUAGAGUACGUAUGAAGCAAAGAAGGUUGUCUUCCGUCUAGGGUUAAGGUGCAGAAGAUACAUGCAUGCCCUAAUGACUGCAUCCUCUACCGCGGUGAGUACGAGGAUUUGAACGCUUGCCCGGUAUGCGGUGCAUUGCGCUAUAAGAUCAGGCGCGAUGACCCUGGUGAUGUCGAGGGCGAGCGCCCUAGGAUUCCUGCCAAGGUGAUGUGGUAUGCUCCUAUAAUACCAUAGUUGAAACGUUUGUUCCAAAACAAAGAGCAUGCCAAGGCGAUGCGAUGGCACAGAGAAGACCGUAAGAAAGACGGAAAGUUGAGAGUACCCGCUGACGGGUCGCAGUGGAGAAAAAUCGAGAGAAAGUACGGGAAGGAGUUUGCAGAUGACGCAAGGAACGUAUGGUUUGGUCCAAGCACAGAUGGCAUUAAUCCUUUUGGGGAGCAGAGCAGCAACCAUAGCACCUGGCCUGUGACUCUAUGUUUGUAUAACCUUCCUCCUUGGUUGUGCAUGAAGCGGAAGUUCAUUAUGAUGCCAGUGCUCAUCCAAGGCCCUAAGCAACCCGGCAAAGACAUUGAUGUGUACCUAAGGCCAUUAGUUGAAGAACUCUUACAGCUGCGGAAUGGAACAGGUGUACGUGCGUGGGAUGAGCACAUGGGGGAAGAUUUUGACCUAAAGGCCUUGCUGUUCGUGACCAUCAAUGAUUGGCCUGCUCUCAGUAACCUUUCAGGACAGACAAACAAGGGAUACCGCGCAUGCACGCACUGUUUGGAUGAUACCGACAGUAUGUAUUUGGACAAUUGUAGGAAGAAUGUGUACCUGGGACAUCGUCGAUUUCUUCCGAGCAGGCAUCCCGUAAGAAAGAAAGACAAGCAUUUCAAAGGUGAGGCGGAUCAUCGGACGAAGCCUCGCCACCGUACUGGUGCUGAUGUACAUGAUAUGGUCAAGGAUUUGAAGGUAGUCUUUGGAAAGGGUCCUGGCGGACAACCUGUUCCGAAUGACGCUGACGGACGCGCACCCAUGUGGAAGAAGAAAUCUAUAUUUUGGGACCUGCCCUAUUGGAAAGACCUAGAGGUCCGCUCUGCAAUCGACGUGAUGCACGUGACGAAGAAUCUUUGCGUGACCCUGCUUGGCUUCUUGGGCGUGUAUGGGAAGACAAAAGAUACACCCGAGGAACGGGAGGACCAGCAACGUAUGCAUGGAAAAGACGGCAUACAUCAGGGUCAUGCCAGCUACGCUCUUACCAAAUAAGAGAAGGAAAUCUUCUUUGAAUGCCUGCUCAGUAUUAAGGUACCGUCUGGCUUCUCGUCGAAUAUAAAGGGAAUAAUAAACAUGGCAGAGAAAAAGUUCCAGAACCUAAAGUCUCAUGACUGCCACGUGAUUAUGACGCAACUGCUUCCGGUUGCAUUGAGGGGGCUUCUACCGGAUAACGUUCGAUUAGCCAUUGUGAAGCUAUGUGCAUUCCUCAAUGCAAUAUCUCAGAAGGUAAUCGAUCCAGAAAUCAUACCAAGGUUAGAGAAUGAUUUGGUGCAAUGUCUUGUCAGUUUCGAGUUGGUGUUCCCACCAUCCUUCUUCAACAUCAUGACGCACGUCCUAGUUCACCUAUGCGAAGAGAUUAACAUUUUGGGUCCUGUAUUUCUACACAAUAUGUUCCCCUUUGAGAGGUUCAUGGGAGUCUUAAAGAAAUAUGUUCAUAACCGUGCUAGGCCAGAAGGAAGCAUCUCCAAGGGCCAUGAAAAUGAGGAGGUCAUUGAGUUUUGUAUUGACUUUAUUCCCGACCUUAAGCUGAUUGGUGUUCCUGAAUCGCGGCAUAAGGGCAGACUGGAUGGAAAAGGCACGCUAGGAGGGAAUCCAAAAAUUUGUAUGGACGGACAUUCUCUCACUGAAGCACACUACAUAGUUCUACAGAAUUCUGCCUUGGUGGCUCCGUAUAUGGACGAAUACAAGAAUUUUCUACGCUCCAAACACCCGGAGCAGUCUGAUGACUGGAUUACACGUGAACAAACCAGGAGUUUCGCCGGCUGGUUGUAGACACGUACCAUGCAUGACGCCUCUAUUGAAGAUGACAUGUACUCGCUAUCCCAGUUACCAUCUUCGAAUAUAAUGACUUUCAAAGGGUACGAGAUAAAUGGUAAUACAUUUUACACGAUCGCCCAAGAUAAGAAGAGCACCAACCAAAACAGUGGUGUCCGCUUUGAUGCAACAACCAAGACGGGAAAGGAAACAUAUUAUGGUUACAUAGAGGAGAUAUGGGAACUUGACUAUGGACGUGGUUUGAAGGUCCCUUUGUUUCGGUGCAAAUGGGUCAAUAUGACACGAGGCGGGGUAACGGAAGACCCGCAGUAUGAAAUGACAACAGUGGAUCUCAACAAUCUUGCGUAUGCAGACGAACCAUUUGUCCUAGCUAAUGAUGUGGCACAUGUUUUCUAUGUGAAGGAUAUGUCUACCAAGCCGAGAAAAAGAAAAGAUAAGGAAGCGAAUGCAUCAUACGAUGAGCCAAAGCGACACAUAGUUCUUUUUGGAAAGAGAAACAUCGUGGGAGUGGAUGACAAGACAGACAUGUCAGAAGAUUAUGAAAAGUUUGAUGAAAUUGCUCCAUUCACAGUGAAUAUUGACCCGAGCAUCCAGUUAAAUGAUGAAGAUUUUCCAUGGCUACGGCGCAAAGGGACACACGCGAAGAAAAAGUUUCACACCCAAAGAUCUGGGAUGUGAUCGGCUUCACUAUCAUCACUUUCUUCUGUGUUUCACACCCAGGAGGGAAUCUCUGUAAUAGUUAGGGGAGUUAUGUAUUUUGGCAUUUGAAACGCGAAGAAAUUUUAUGUGCAAACAAAUUCUUUCAUGCAUUUACUGAUUUUUUCAGCUAAAUGACCCUGAAAUUGAAAAGCAUUUCAAAUGAACUCAGAAAAGGUUGAAAGUUGGCAUGGUAUCAUAAUUUCACCCACAUAGCAUGUGCAAAAAAGUAGAGAGGGUUGCCGCGAAAACUGGAUGCACUUCGUGUACAAAAUGGACAAUCUCUUUCGAAGUAUCAGGGUUUCGGACGAAAACUCAUCCGUUACAAAGGCAUUUCAUUUUUUAAAUAACCUAAGCAUUACCAAAUUGAAUAUAAUGAUAAAACACACUAAUAUUAAACAUAAAAAAAAGAAUCACUGAAAAAUCUAUUUUCAAAGUUAAGUUAUUCACAAACUAGUGAUUCACACAAAUUUCAAAUAAUUCAAAAUGUAAACUAUUCAAAUUUGUAAACUAUCGACACUAAUAGAAAGUUUGUAAUUUUUUGUACCUAAAGCAAAAAUAUUCACAAAGAAACUCUAAAUACAGCAAAAAAACAACUCAAAAAUAAAUAAACAAAAAUAAAUAAAGAAAAUAAAAAAGACCGCCUACUGCGCCACAGCGGCCUGCAUACGACUAGAAACCCAACCUGUUGUUGGGCCAGGGUGCAGGCCCGCAAAGGCCCAGUAGGCCCACAGGGCAGCACAGAACAUUUAGGCCCAGUAGGCCUGCUUUCGAGAGGAGCUCGAGAGAGCUACCGCACUGGGGCUUAUAAACCAGUGCGGACGCCCCUCGGCUAGCGAGGUGGGACUAAACAUGACGCACCGCACCUGCGCCAGCGCACCACCUUUAGUACCGGGUGAUGGCUCAAACCGGUAUUAAAGGGAGGGUCUUUAGUACCGGUUGGAGCCACCACCCGGUACUAAAGGUGGGCGCUUCUCGCCACUUGGCCUGACCAAAAUUGUCCUUUAGUACCGGUUGGUCGCUCCAACCGGUACUAAAGGCCCAUCCUAUAUAAGAAAACACUUUAAAAAAUUCAGUUUCUCAUCUGCUUCUUCUCGUCUGCCCGGUCGCCCGCUGCCCCCCGUCGCCACCCCUCAUUGAUGCCCCCGUCGCCGCCCCGUCCCCGUCGUCGCCGCCCCGUCCCCGUCCCCGUCNNNNNNNNNNNNNNNNNNNNNNNNNNNNNNNNNNNNNNNNNNNNNNNNNNNNNNNNNNNNNNNNNNNNNNNNNNNNNNNNNNNNNNNNNNNNNNNNNNNNNNNNNNNNNNNNNNNNNNNNNNNNNNNNNNNNNNNNNNNNNNNNNNNNNNNNNNNNNNNNNNNNNNNNNNNNNNNNNNNNNNNNNNNNNNNNNNNNNNNNNNNNNNNNNNNNNNNNNNNNNNNNNNNNNNNNNNNNNNNNNNNNNNNNNNNNNNNNNNNNNNNNNNNNNNNNNNNNNNNNNNNNNNNNNNNNNNNNNNNNNNNNNNNNNNNNNNNNNNNNNNNNNNNNNNNNNNNNNNNNNNNNNNNNNNNNNNNNNNNNNNNNNNNNNNNNNNNNNNNNNNNNNNNNNNNNNNNNNNNNNNNNNNNNNNNNNNNNNNNNNNNNNNNUCCCCGUCCCCGUUGUCACCGCCCCGUCCCCAUCCCCGUCGUCGCCGUCCCCAUCCCCGUCGUCGCCGCCCGUCGCCGCCCCCCGUCGCCUCGCCUCGCCGGUGAGCUCCUACCCCGGCCGCCAUGUCCACACACACACACACAUUGUUUUUUAGUUUUUUAGUUAUAGAAAUUUUUCUGUUUUUUAGUUAUAGAAAUAUUAGAAAUGUUAUAGAAAUGUUAUAAAUUUUUCUGUUUUUAAGUUAUAGAAAUGUUAGCAAUUUUUUUGUUUUUUAGUUAUAGAAAUAUUAGAAAUGUUAGUUAUAUAUAUAGAAAUGUUAGAAAUUUUAGAACUAGUUUUAGUUAGAUGAAUUAGAUUAAUGUCAAAUUGUUAGAAUUUGCAUAUAGAAUUUUAGUUAUCACAAUCCAAUCAUUUAAAAAAUGUUACUUUUUGCGGGCAUAUAGUAUUUUUGCGGGCAUUAGUUAUAGAAUUAUGUACUAUAUGAUUCAGUUUUUCCUUAUUGAUUGCAUCCAUGCAAUGUAAUUUGAAUACUAAAUUGUUUUAUAUUUCUUCUGUAUUAGUUAAAUAAAAGCUAUGGCGGACAAUACCGGCAGAGAGGGAGAAGAGGCCCUGUUCGAGAUCAUACGCAGCCCUAACAGGCCAGAUGAUCUGAAUGAAGCAAAUGACGGCUCCCAAUACUGAACAAUACCGGGGAGGGUGAUGAUAAGAUAUUUGAUCUCGACGACCGAGCUGAUGAAGUCAUGAACUAUGAUUAUGAUUAUGAUGAUGCAGACAACGAUUAUGAUGACGAAUACAAUGUUGAUCUUGAAAUAACAAAGACUACCGGCGAGGUAUAUUUAUAUAAGCAGGCAUCUAGUGAUCAUCACAUGUUUUUUUUAUUUGAAGAUAUAUUAACGAAUCGAUCUUUCUUCUUUCAGCCCUCCGGAUCGAGCAAAUUUGCUUCUACAGACAGCAGGACAAAGCGCGGCCCGGGCAAAAAGUUGAAGGAGGGUGUAAAGUACAACAUCGAUUCCAUCAAAGCUAGUGGCGAACCCCUCACGCCUAAGAACAUUGCGAACAAGUUCGUUCGUCAGUGCGGAGUUCUUGUGAAGAACCAACUCCCGAGCUCCAUUCAAGAAUGGAAAGAGCCAAAAACUAAACGCCCAGAUGUUACUUGGGUCGACAACAGAGCAAAACAAAAGCUUUGGGAAUCUCUAAUGGAACAUUUCACCCUACCAGAUUAUUUCACUGAUGCAGAUGUGCAGAAAGUCAAGGACGCUGCUCUUAAGAAGAUGGCAAUUGCAUUCAACACCCACAAGAAAACUGUAUGGGCCAACUACCUCGCUGCAGAAAGGAAGACUCCAGAACUUAAGGGAACACUGGAGAAGCAAAGAGAACACUGGCCCGCUUUCAUGAAAUUCAAGGAAUCAGAAUUAUCUAAGGAACGGUCGAGAAAAAACAAGGCCAAUGCCGCAAAAAAGAUGCAGUUCCAUCGGCUGGGUCCAGGUGGCUACGCGGUGGCAAUGCCUAAGUGGGAUAAGUCUGAGCAAGAGAUGGAGGAUGCAGGGGUCACUCCGGUUACAAGGAGCUGGCCCCCCAGGUGCAGAACUUGGUUCUAUGCGCAUGGGGGGCGUUGGACCCGAAGACAGGCCUGGUUUCGGAGAAGGCAAGUCUAAAAGGAGCAGAACAGAAGUUACUUGACGCAAUAGAAGAUGCUCGAAAGGGGGUGUUCACGCCCAACAGAGAGAACGACGAGCUUACGCGCGCCCUGGGAAAUCCUGAACACCCAGGAAGAACACGAGGCAAGGGCGUUAUUCCCUGGUAUGAGGGCUUUUCGGAAUGGAACGACGACUACAGGACCCGUGCAAGAAAGAAGAUGGAGGAGGAGAAGAAGAGGAAGCUGGAGGAGGAGCAAAGGAAGCAGGACACGGAACGCCUUCAAGGCCUAGAAGCAAGGCACGCGGACUUGGCACUCAAAUUCCAGCAGCAGCAGCAUCAGAUUGACUCACUUAGCCAGGAAAGGGGGUCUCAGCAGCGGCAGCAGCAAGCGGAUGAUCAUCCAGCAUUGGAUAGCACCGUCCCAUCCAUGCCGAGAAGCAGCGUUGGUUCCGUCACGGGCGACGCACUGCUAGAUACAUACCCUGUGGAUGACAUCAUAGAGAACACUAACUGUGAGCUACACUUCAAAAUGAAGAACAUAUCCAUGAAGGUGGUGGACGUCGUUGCUUUUACAAUUACCCCCGAAGCAACCUUCCAUUGCGCCCCGAUUCCAGCGGGCUAUGCUCGUGUCUUGGUUGAUGAGGUGGUGGACCCAUAUUCGGGGCUAGAGCUUGACAUUCCUGGAGGUGACGACGAGCACACACUAGGAGAGGCCAUACAUCGUAUCAUCCUAUGGAGAAAGGAUCGCAUCAUCUUUCGAAGUCCACCGACACCGCGUCUGCCGACUCCUCCUCGAAAUCCGCCACCAUGUCAGCAGACUCCCGCUCCUCCAAGUCCACGAACGCGUGAGCAGACUCCUGCUUCAAGUCCGGCACAGCGUCAGGCCACUCCUCCUGUUUAAAGUCCGACACUGUGUCAGGCCACACCUCCUGCUUCAAGUCCGGCACAGCGUCAGGCCACACCUCCUGCUUCAAGUCCGACACCGUGUCAGGCCACACCUCCUGCUUCAAGUCCGACACAGCGUCAGGCCACUCCUCCUGCUCCAACUAAGCCAUGUCAGCCGUCUCCGCCGCCUAAGCAAUCGCAGAAGAGACACGCCGCAACUAUGGUGGGUAGCGGUACGAGUCGAGGUAGUACAGGAAGUACAGGCGGAGACAAGCGAUAUAAAUAUGGUCCAAGCAGCCUCGCUCCUCUUCCUCAGAGGCCUUACGACAUGACCGAGGAGCAAAACGAUGCAAUAGUGCGGGCCGAAGUGGACGCUCAUUUUGGACCGAAACCGGCAACGCCGCCGAGAGAGGAAGUGCCUGAGGAAAAGAUUGGCCACUUCAUUCGUAUGGCUAGACCACCAGCUCCCAAGCCUGUUGACUCAGACUAUGAGCGCCAAAUUAGGAAGGCACAUCGAGCACGACUACAGAAAGAAGCGAGCUCGAGCUCGAGCCAACAAGCAGCUGUCAAAAAAUGCGGGAAAACCGUUCCCCAGCUGGGAGAACAGGCGGCGCAAUCGACCCCCCCGCUUGUUGUGCCAACAACACAUGAGAGUACGCGCCCCCAAUAUUAUUGUGGGCAAACCGUUUACGUUCCCGAGCUGGGCGAUGUGGUAAUAACCGAGGAGCAUAUAAUGCAGGCUGAAAUGCUCAAGAUCACUGUUGGACAACUCCUCGAUAUCGAGCCCAUGUCUCCGCUUAGAGAGAAGGAAAUAAAACGGAAAUAUGUCCGGGGCCAACCUUUGGUCGAGCUCGAGGAGGUCAAGAACCUCCCAACGAGAAUGUAUGAAUUGCAUGAUUGGUACAUGAAAAUUACCAAGAUUUCCAAUCGAGAGUCCCUCAUGGUGCAAGUCGAGGAAGAUCAUUACUUCAAUAAGAAAGCUCUAUCCGUUGAAUAUUCAGAACUAUUUGAGUUAUUCAAUCAAGAUGCACUCGACAAAUCUAUCGUCAGUUGCUAUUGUCUGUAUGUGAUUUCUUUCUGUAAUUUAGGUCUCAAGCUAGCUCUAGUGCUCAUUGAUUGAUCAUUAAUUACCUAUAAUUAUAUAUCCUCACUAUAUAUUCUUUUCUGUGGUAUUAUGCAGGAUGAAGAUGUAUGAAAUGAAAAAAGCUGGACGCUAUGGCAUUGGGUUCAUUGACCCAAAUACCGUUAAUGAAUACACAUGGAAAUUGGAAUGGUGUAGCCAAGAUGUAGAGAAAAACAUGGUAGAGUUCUUGAAGCGCCUCAAUAGCAAUGAAGAUAUACUACUUCCUUACAACUUCGAGUGAGUCACACUGUCUUGUACUACAAAUUCUGUUUUUGCUUACUAGCUAGAUGUUAAUAAGUGUAUAGGGUUUAGGAUUAUAGUUGAUUAGUGUUAUGCACAUGCCCGCUUAAUUUAUACAUGCAAACGUAUGCGCAUGCAGCUUCCACUGGAUCUUAUUAGAGAUUAAAGUUGACAAAGGAAAAGUUGAAGUACUGGACUCACUACUUAAAAAAGAUAGUGACUACAGCAUCGUGAAGGGGAUAGUCGACAGGUUAUUUCAAUCAUUAUUAACUAUAUCUCGGCCUAUUUAGUUCGUCAUUUCCUGAUAUAAACUAUUUUUAAUAACCCCUUUAUUAAUUUUCUUUGCCGGCGGGCAGGGCUUGGGCAAAGUACAUCAAGGUGACUCCAGGAAAAUGGAACAAAAGCUAUGUUGGUAUCGACCCAAGGUAAGUAAUUAAGUAGUACUAGCUAGCUACCAUCUCUUUAAUUCUUGUUUCAAUACCAUUAAUUAAUUAACAUGCUUGAUUAAUUAUUAUCUGAUUAAAUUCUAUUGUCGUAAAGGCCCUGAAGCAGGCGCCGGGGACUGAAGUAUGUGCAUACUACGUUUGCGAGAACAUUCGCAUGAUGGCGUCCGAAAAGAGCAGAUCUGAUAGACAGGACUGGGUACAUUUGCCAGAACACUAUUCACAAAUCUUACAUGAUUGUCGAUAUCUAGUCACACAACUAAUACACAUGCAUAUUGAUCUCCUUCUUAACAGUUCAAAGAGGUGCGGGACCAGCUCCUACCAGAGGAGCGCAUACGAGCACUUCAAGAGGAAAUAGCGGGAUUUUUGCUCGACCAGGUCAUAGAUCCCAAAGGAGAAUACUAUUACCCGCUACCACCCCCAUGAACCACUUGUCAUCAUGCUCCGAAGGCACCAAGGCAACAUGUAGGAGAAAUUGUAUAUAUAUACAUGUGUAUGUGUGAAUAAUAAAUAUAUAUAUAUAUAUAUAUGAUCGGUUCUACGAGAAAAUAUAUUUAUAUAUAUGCAUAACGUGUACAAUAUGUAGUAUCGUAAAAUACCAGCAAACAAAAAAGAAUCAAAUGGAAAACACAAAAUUAAUGGAAAACACAAAAUUAAUGGAAAAAUAAAAAUUAAAACCACCCCCCCCAAACAUUUAGUACCAGUUGGUGCUACCAACCGGUACUAAUGGUCUACCAGCACCCGGGCCUGGCUCGUGCCACGUGGUGGCACUUUAGCGCCGGUUCGUGCCGAACCGGUAGUAAGGGGGGGGGCUUUAGUCUCCACUCUUUAGUGCCCGUUGCAGAACCGGCACUAAAGGCCCUUACGAACCGGCGCUAAAGCCCGAUUCUGCACUAGUGAAGAAUGAGCCAGUGGGGCCGAGCAGAACAUGGAGCAUGUGGCGGGGAUGCAGGCUUGCACCCAUCCCGUGCACGGUGUCCCGAGCGGAAGCAUCGGUUAGGCCAACUCCACCAUGACCCCAAAUUGUCCGGGGCUGUCCGUUUGGGGUUAAACGGACAUACAAGACGUCCCAACGCGCCACCCCAUCUGCAAAAAACGCCUGUUUCUGGUCCGGCUCGCCCCAUCCCGGGCGCAAACUUGGUCUGGUUUGGGGUCUAAGACGAACACGCCCGGACUUUUUUGCGUGGUCCUCGUCCGCCCCUGUCCCUUUGCAUGUGAGACCUGGCCCGCUAGUCAUUGAAACAAAGGGCCCACCCACCCACCCAUCCCCUCUCUCUCCUUCUUUUCUCUCUCUCUCCUCCUUUUCUCUUCCCCGAGGUGGUCCUGCCGGCGGAGCGGGGCGCAGCGCGGGGAACAGGGCGCGGCGCGCGGCGGUUGGCAAGCCGCGGCGGGGGCACGACGGGGGCACGAAUAGGUGCAGGACGGAGCUAGAGUGCAAGCUCGCGUGCGGUUGAGGCGGACAUUUUGGGGUCGAUCGGUGUGCUGGGCGCCUCCAACUUAACUCGGACAUGCAUGCUCGUUUUGCCACUAAUUGCCACCCCAAACAAACAGAAUCCAGACAAAAACGGACGUUCGUUUGGAGUCGUGCGGUGGAGUUGGCCUUACACCGGAUGGAUCCAUGCAGGGAUUGGAUGGUAACUAGACCAGCGCACCAGCCAAGUUGAGUUCAUUUGACAAUCCCUGUCCGUCCACCACACCACCGGAGACAGACACGCCGCACCCAACGCCACUCGAAUUCCCCAUCGCCCGCGGCCGCGGCCGCCGCCGCUGCUCCGCCGUCGCGGCGCCAUGCUCCACCUCCGGCAGCGCGCCCUCUCCCAUCUCCUCUCCGCCGCACCAGCUCCUUCCACAUCCCCUCUCCUCUCUCUCCACCGCCUACUCUCCGCGGCCGCGGCCGCCAUUUCCCCGAACCCUAGAUUCGUCGUCGAGGACUACCUCGUCGGCACCUGCGGCCUCACCCGUGCCCAGGCACUCAAGGCCUCCACCAAGCUCUCCCACCUCAAGUCCCCCGCCAAGCCCGUCGCCGUCAUUCCUCGCCGGCCUCGCCUCUCCGGCGCCGAUGUCGCGGCCGUCGUCGCCAAGGAUCCGCAGUUCCUCUGCGCCAAAGUGGACAAAACUCUGGCCCCUGUCGCCGUCGGGCUCACCGGCCUCAUACAUCAGCGAUGACAAGAUCGCUGCCAAAGUGGACUACUUGAAGAAGGCGUUUAGGUGGUCAGAUACCGAGGUUGGCAUUGCUGUGUCCAAGGGUCCGUUCUUGCUGAGGAGGUCAAAUGACGUGCUGCAGCGUAUGUCAGAGUUCCUGAUCUGUGAGGUGGGGUUGGAACCGGCGUACAUUGCUCAUCGCCCCGCUAUGCUCACUCGUAGCCUCGAGGGCCGGCUCAGGCCCCGGUACCAUGUUAUGAGGUUUCUUAAGGAAAAUGGAUUGAUAAAUCAUGACAGAGACUACUAUACUAUGGUGGUGGUCAGCGAGAAGGUAUUUGUGGAGAAGUUCAUAUGCCCUCACAAGCAAGCUGCACCACACCUUGCUGAAGACUAUGCAGCUGCUUGCACAGGACAGGUGCCUGCUACAUUCAGAUUUACAUGAACCAGGAAGCAGGAAAAUGGAUUGCUAGAGCGCGAGUGGAACUACUAUUCAGCAGCCUUGGUGGCAGAAAAUUUUCAUGGGAAAGUUCGUAUGUCCUCACAAGGAAGCUGCCCCCACCUCGCCGAAGACUAUGCUGCCACUUGUAGGGAAGUGCCUUCUAAUUUCAGAAUUACAUGACCAAGAAUGGGCGAUGAGAACUGCAUAUGGCGCAAAAAUGUUUACACUAUGUGUAGUGAGCUGGUAAUCUCUGUCUGUGUUCAUUGCCUGAGUGGAUGUUGGUUGUCUGCUAUAGUAUGUCAGGUACGUACAUGCUAAUUUGGCAUCGCUAGUCCUGAAUAAAACUGAUAAUUUUAUUGUUAGUCCUUGUAUGUCGAUCAACCAAUCUUGGUGGCUGGGGCCUUGCUAUACCACACGUGAUUCUCAAGGCUCUGUUAGUUGAUGACGCUCUGAAGCUUCCUUCAGUAACAAGUACUCCUACUUUUAUGACCUGAUGUGUGCGGGGGUUUUACUCAGAGAAGCUCCUACUUUUCUCUAUCUGAAUUUUGCUAGUUUGGUAAUCCUUCUCGUAUUGUAUGUCCAUUACAUCAUUCAGUAGAGAAGAAAGAUACACUGCAAUUAACCUGUCCAUCCUGAUAUCAUAUUGUCAUGCAUACUGAGAACUAAGAGUGUGACAUCAGGGCAUUCUGCAAAUGCUUUCAAAUAUAUUAAUUAAGAGUAUAUCUGCAGGACCUAUAUGUUUAUGUUCUCAAUUGCCGUUGCAGCUUUCAAUGCAAUCCUGAGUCAAACUAUCUUUCAAUGAAAAAAGGUUAUCAUUUUUUGCCAUGAAAGAUGAUGUGAAGUCCCAAAAUUGGUUGAACAUCUUUUUUCGUGAGAACAAAUCUGGAAUUAACGUGUUAGUCACUGCCAUGGAUUACGAGUCGAACGACUAGUCUAGACUAGUCGCUCGACUAGUCUACGAGUCGCACUCCAGCUGUCGACUCCUUUUCUCGUGUAGACUACAAAUACGAGUCGAGCCGUCGAAGGACUAAUCGACGACUAGUCUGGACUAGUCGUGCAUCUUGAGUCGUUCGACUAAAAAAAAAUCCAGGCUUGCUCCAGAGAGAGCAGCCUCAGCUGGGACGAGGCGCCGCCAGCACCCACUGGCCUGCCACUGCCGCCGCCACCCACCGCUGGGACGGCGGAUGGCGCAGCCAAGUGCGGCAGCCGGGCGGAGCUCGUGCUCAGGCGGCGGCCAUGGCCGUGACCCGUAGGCGCGCGCGGCCUUGAGACGAGAGAGGAGGAAGAGAGAGAGAGGGGAGAGGAAAGGAGGAGGCAUGGCGGUGGUCGGCGGGCUCGCCGGCGGGAGCGGCUGAGGCCGGCGGAAGGCGGCAGGAGGCGCGGGUCGCGUGCGCGCGUGCUCUGUGCGUGAUGGCGCUGGCGGCGGCGAUUGGGUAGAUCGAGAGCUAGGGUUCCAGUGGUUGGGGGACUAAGUAGGCUGGCCACUUGGGCCAAAUGGGCCAGCUGGUGGGUGGGGGGCGUGCUGCACGGUGCUGAGCUGGGCUGGGCCUGACAAGUGUUGACUAGCACUGCUGGUUUUAUUAUGUAUAUACUGUAAUGUGCUGUACAGUUUACUACAUACUACUACGUACUACUACUAGGUAUUAGUAGUUGAGUACUACAGUACUAUGUCGACUAGUCUAGCACUAGUCUAAGACUAGUCCGAUUAGUCUAUGAGUCUCAACCUCGGAACGACUCGUCGACUCGUAAUCCUUGGUCACUGCUCAGGUUGCAGUUUUGAACUAGUCUGUUGGUUGCUUCCUCUAGUUCUUCUAAGCUGAAACUCUUCAUUCUUCCUGCAGUAGCUUUGUUUGUAAGACAUUAACUGUUGUGAAAGCAGGUCAUUGUUUACUAGUAGUUUAUAUCACGUUUUUUUUUUAUUUUUCUCUUAUAUUCUUGGAUGGGCUACUGGCUGAUACUUUUUCUAGGAGCAUCUGACGUAAAAACUGAAUACUUCAGUAGUUGGCCAGUAGCAUUUUGUUGACAGCCUACCCAUGUAGCACUACGUAACAGAUAUUUCAAAGGCCCUUGUAUUUGUACCGGAGACACAACUUGAUGCUUCUAUGAUACGGUGCUGAAAAACAGAGGGCAUUUCAUACAAUAUGAAGCAACUUAUGUUAAGGUAAUCUUAAAAAGGGUUAUGGCACUACCAUGUUAAUCUCUGCCAUACUGUUAGCUAAUUUUAUUCAAUAUUAGCACUAUUUGUAUAGAUUCUCGGGACAUCUUUUUCUCUUGGAAUAUUUUUCGGAACCAUUAGGAACCGCAGAUUUUUUAGUCCAUCACAUUCAUGCAUUUACCAUAGUAAGGUGAAUCUUAUGUACCAUCCUCUGUUUUAUACUUUGCCAUUUUAGAUGCUCUUUUAAAUUUGCUUUAGUUGUAUUGUUUACAAACUCCUCUGAAGACAUGUAGACUGGAAUUAGAGAAAAGAGAAUGAAAAUGUUGAAGACUAUAUUACCUUACCCAAGAGAUGGUCCCAGAGAUGAUAUCUUAACCAAAGCUUGGUCUUAACAUUUAAGGUAAUGCAAUAUUUUUUUUCUCAGUUAUACGAAUGUCAUCUCUUUCGUAUACACUUCUCAAUUAAAUCUCAGUCUAGGCAUGCAAGUACUAUUUGUCAGAUAUAGUGUAGUUAUAAAAUCUUACAGAAUUUCAAACACAGAAAUUGUAGACUUGCUGGUGGUCCUGAAAUUAAGAAUCAAGUUGUAUGAGGCGAGGAUGGUGGUACACAUUUGUUUAUUCCUGGUGUUAGGUUGUAGAAAUCGGAAGAAAUGAGAUCUCAGCUGUGUGCAUCCAUUAACAAAACGGAGAGCUCUGAUCUGAAAUGAAGAUCAGUUGUGUGUCUCUUCUCUCAUGCCUAGUUUAGCUUGUGGGAAUUAUAGAAAUAAGAUUAAUGCAAUGAAGGCGAGGGAAAGGGGUCUGUUAAGGAAGAGUAAAUAGCAUAAAACUACUACUUUACAGGCUAGGGUUCCAAAAAACUACCACUUUUUAAUUUUUCUCAAAAAGCUACUAGUCGCGCGGUCUGCUGUUUUAAAAAACCCAAACCCGCGGUGACUAGCGAUUUAACCGUUUUCCUGACCGCCUGGACCCACCUGUUAGCCCACGUGGCCACGCGUGCUCACGACGCGGCCGUUGACGGCCGUCAGGCAGGCCGGUUCAGUCGGAACUGGGUAAAUACCCCCUCGGUCGGUCGGGCGCACCCUGCUCGCUCACUCUCUCCUGCUCGCUCUCACUCCCCUACUCCCACUCCCCUGCUCCAGUACGAGCUCGCCGCCGGUCGCCGUCGACCUCCUUGCCGCAAUGCCUUCCUGGAACGACGAGGAAACGAGCUCCGAGGAGGAGUGCGAGGUCGUCAGCAUGGACAUGGGACUUAUGGUAAGUUUUUCUUUGCCACCUAGGGUUAGGGUUAGGGUUAGGUGCUAGUAGAGCAGCCAUGGAUGUUGCUGAGUGUAGUGUUGUUGUCUCUGUGAUAUUGAUCUUGCUGAGGGUGGGGUUUGAUUGUAGGAUUGAGGUAACACCUAGGGUUCAUCUCUGUACAGUGUUAGGGUUCAUGCUAAUUUGGGGAUUUUACAGUGUUCAGGGUUAAUGAACAGUGCAAGUUGAUUGUGGUAUUGAGUGCAGUGUUCUGUUGGUCAUUUUGGUUGCAGGAGGAACCAAACACCAUUGUGGAGCCCCUUUUCUGUGGCCAACUUGAGCUUGCUCAACCCAAGUGCAUUCUGCACCAAAUGAGGCCUAUUAAGCGUGUUGCUUUUGAAGGCAUUGUGACAGGAAGGCGUUUCUAUGGUGGCCCAGUCCAGGUUAGAUGCCAAUUAAGUUUUCUGCUAUGGAUGUUCACUGAUGUUUGAUAUGAUGCAGCAGUUUGUUACUUUGGAAACUCAAUCAUGGCAUUGUAAUAACUUAUCAUAUCUCAUUUAUUUUAUUCAUUGUUAGAAAUUUCAAGUUUAUCAAGUUAAUCAUGGAAUUGAAAUAAGCUACUAGUCCACUUCUAAUAACUUAUCACAAUUACAAAUGCAGGAAAAUGGUGUGAAUUGUGGUGUUGUAGAGUGGGUUGAUGGGCCUUGGCCUCCUGUUCUUCAGAGAUGUCUUUCCAAGCUAUGAGAAAUGUUCCAUGAGCAGAACUGUGGAAGGGUACUUGACAAGGAGAAGUUUGAGAAGGAGUUGGCCAAGCUGAAGUGUGAACAUGAAAGGGAGUUGGUCAAGCUUAAGAUGAAAAAUGACAAGCUUUGCAUUGAGUACACCAAGCUUGUUGAUGAUGUAUCCAAGAUGUUUGAUUGGCAGGAUGGUAGGGUGGACAAGGUGUACCAGAAACAAGUGGAGGAGGAAGAACUUGAGAAGAAGAAGAUGGAGCUAGAGGAGAAAGCUAUGUUGGAGGUGCAGAUGGAAAAGCUCAAACUUGCAAAAGAGCAGAGGUGCAUUUUGCAGAGCCAAGCUGAUAUCAUCAAGAACACCAGGAAGGCUAUGAAGGAUGUUGAAGUUGACAGAGAUGUUCUUAAGAAGGAGAAGGAAAAGCUUGAGCUUGUUGUUGCUGAGCUGCUGAAAGAUGGGUAUGGCAGCAAGGAGAAGUUAGAGCAAAUCAAGGCCAUCCUUGAGUCUUGAAGUUGCUGUGAUAUGUUGGUGAAGUAAGUACAUCCAAGGCCUUUAUAUAAGGAUGUGGCCUAACAGUCUGAAGUGGGGUGUACAUUUUGGGGGAAUGUGAAGUUUAACCUAGUGUUUGGUCAUGCAUUUGAACUUUAGUUUCUUACGUAAGAACCUUAUUUCCUAUGUUGUUAAGUAAGUUGUAAUGGAUCACCUAUGUUGUUAAGUAAGUUGUAAUGGAUCUCCUAUGCUAUUAAGUAGUGGAAAUGGAUCUCUUAUGCUACUAAGUAGUGGAAAUGGAUCUUGUAUGCUAUUAAGUGUUCAAAUUUAUCUUCUAUCUUUUAUAUGUUAUUUGUUAGCCUACAUAUAUUAUUUCUAUGGGUAAUUGGGCUUAGUGGCCCACUAGUCUCUGACCAAAUGCAACACUAGGCCUACUAAACCCAACCCCAUCCAUCUGUCAAUAUAAACCCCUCCCCACCCCCACCCUUUCCCAGUGACUCCACCAGUCGCCACCCAAAAGAAAACCUACAGAUGGAUCCUGACAUGGGAGAUGUCACGGAGGAGGAGGGGGAGGCUGUGGAGGUUAGGGCAGCAGCGGCGCAGGCAGAGGGCACUAGAGGCGGCCCAGGAUGAGCAGCAACAGGAGUUCAACCGCCGACUCUCCGACAAGGUACUGGAGAAGUGUAAUGAUGAAGAAUUGGAGCUGGUUUUCACUGGUGGCAGGGGAAGGACAUUCAUGAAGAUCAUUAGCUGGGCAGGGGAAGGUUUGUGUAUGACAUAAUUGUCUCAACACCAGCUCUAGGGUUUGAUCUAAUGGUAUCCUCACAAACCUUGGCAACCCAAUUAACUGUAACUUUGGUGCUCUCUCCACUUGCUCCACAAGUGUGAUCCAAAUUCAUCUUCUUGAUGCUGAAAGUUGACUCAUUAGCUAUUCUAGAGGCCACUAUGUAAAACUGACAACCUUGCUUUCUAUCAGAGCACCAAGCAAUAACCCUAGUUGGUUCAUUUUUGUGAUACUCAGAAUUCCUAAGUGUCCUGACAUGGAAAUUUCUUGGAGCUUCUCUGAACUCCACAACAUUUAGGAAGCACAAAUGCAAUGCAAACUGCUCAUGUGCAUCAGGGACUGAUGGAUCAUACCACCUACUCUCCUUCCUCUUCUUCAACCUUCUCUUCCUACCAGAAGGCAACCUUGGAACUUCUUCUUCAUCACUAAGGCCAAAAUCACCUGGAAAGCAGUAUUCAUCAGGUCCAGGCACAAAAUCUUCAAACUUGAUGUGUUCAGGCUCACUGUGUGACUUACUAGUUGGGCCUGGUUUUCUGACAGGAUUAAGCUUCUUUGCUCCUUUCUCUGGUACAACUGAGGGUUCUUCAUGUUCAGAAAGGAUUUGGUCUUCCUCCCAAAACUCAGAUGGUUCUGAGUUUGCUCCACAAUAGUGCUCUGCAGGUUCUUCCUCUCCCUAGGCUUAUGGCUUGUCCCUGUGGCAGCCUCAUCUUCACCCCUACACCAAGCCUUGUAUGAUAUUUUCUGCCCUUUGUAAUCACCCCUAAAAAACUCAAAAUCUGAAGAGGAUUUGUCCAUCUCAUCUUCAUCUUCAUCUUCCUCAUCUUCUACUUCUACAUCUUCUUCUUCCACAACAUUUUCCCCCUUGUUCAAAUUACAACUAUGUUGUGUGUUAAGAUAGGGUUCCUCAGGGAUUGCUGGUGCCAAAGUUGCAUCAUGGAGUGGAUACAGGACACCUUGUUGGGAAACACUAUAAACAACAGGUUCACCAACAUGAUCAAUGGGGAUCUGUUCCUCAAGCAUGAUGUGAUCCAUGUUAACAUCUGCUGGGCUUGGAUCAGUAGGCUUUCUGACAGUGAUGUUCAGGACCUUCUUAUCAACAAACAAGUCAAGCAUUUCCUCUAAUGCCUCCUCACUAUCCAGGACCUCCACCCCCUCCAAGCCCUUUCCUCUUCCUUUACAUAAGUCAGACAAGCCUCCAUUCCAUAACCCUCCAACUCAGCUAAUGCUAAUAUGGUCAGAUAACUAAUAUCUGAAGAAACUGAAUACUUUCUCUCCAUGUUAUCUGUUCCUUGAAAAUGUAGCCUCAUGUCCCAAAUGUCAUCAUCUAAGCUGUAGGAUUAAAUUGACAAACAAUUAAUUUUUAAGUCACUCAAACUUAAAACAAUGACCAAAUGCAUUGCACAUUACUGAACUUUCUUCUAAUUACAGUGAAUGCACUAAUCAAAUGCACUGACCAAAUGCACUUUCAUCUACAGUGACUUAACCAAUAAAAUAAAGUACCAUGCCAAGAACAAACAAGUACUAACCCUAGUUCUAAAUUGAACUAAAGGACCCAGAAAUUUGUAAUUUGAACUAAACGUAUGAAGGGCCCAGAAAUUUCUUACCUCACUCCACCAAAGGACGACGCCCAAUUGUGGCCGCCAUCUGGAUCCGCGUGGAUGCACUUCGCCACUGCCCUAGCCGCGCGGACUGCCGGAUCUGAGCUCGCCGGAUCGACCUCAGCCGCGGGCGGUGAUGGCUGCCGCAACCGCUGCGCCGGGAAGCUCGAGCUGCCUAGCCCUGGGUCCACCUCUGGAUGUCCACCGCCCUCCUGGCCGGUGACGCCUUGGCUCAAUAGCUCGCCGCCGACGGCAUUUGGCUGCGUCGCCGCCAUCGCCCACCUAGGUCACUGCGGGGGAGAUGAGGGGGAGACAGAGAGAGAGUGCGGCCCGACCGGCUCCUUUCGUUCCGACCGGACCGGCCUGCCUAACGGCCGUCAACAGCCGCGCCGUGAGCGCGCGAGGCCACGUGGGCUGACAGGUGGGCCCAGCACGUCAGGAAAACGGUUAAAUCGCUAGUCACGGGCGUUUUGGGUUUUUUGAAACAGCCGACCGCUCGACUGGUAGCUUUCUAAGAAAAAUUAAAAAGUGGUAGUUUUCUGGAACCCUAGCCUGUAAACUAGUAGUUUUAUGCUAUUUACUCGUUAAGGAACGAGGUGACUUGCCAGGUGAAUAUGAAUUUGAAAAAUAAGUACUUUCCGCAAGUAAGAAUUGGUUGGGCAAUAAAGAGGAGCAUACUGACUGAUUUACUGAAUUUUGUAGAUCGAUGGUGCUUUCUUUCUUCCUGGAGAAGAUGUGAUGAAACUGGAUAUAUAUGCAUACUACACGUGUUUCUGAAUGCUCUGUUAGUUUAUGACGCCCUGACCUGACGUGUGCGGGGGUUUUACUCAGAGAAGCUCCUGCUUUUCUCUUUCUGAAUUUUGCUAGUUUGGUAAUCCUUCUCGUAAUUGUCCUAGAGACUGUAUGUAAACUAUAGGUAUGUUACCCUAUUGAAUGGAGACUCAUGCUCUGAACCUUUUGUUUUGUACACUGGGGAAUUUCUGGUAUUAUAAAAUGGUCUUCAUUUUUACUCUACCUCUAGGAGCCCGGUUUGCAGAAUCGGUUAUCAAAAUCUCUGGGCAACAAAGCUGCUGUUCAGUGCCGGUGGGAGCUAUGUAACCUGUGUAUUAUGUCUUGCCAUCUUUAUUUGUACAAUUAUGCCAUGACCCAGAAUUGGAGGGCAGUAUUGCACUCACAAGCAUGUACAUAACUCAUCUAUAAUAUGAAGAGAGAAGUCAUUUUGGCUGCACAUCCUCUUGAAUAGCUUGAACCAAACAUUGUUUUUUCCUAUAUUUUUUUGUCUUCUUCUCUGAACUCAUGUCAGCCGAGCUCCUUCAGUAUUGUUUUCCUGUAGUUUAGUUCUCUGAACUCGUACCAGGAACAGUGUUUUCCUGUCAGGUACGUAUGGAAGGGUUGAAAAAGGAAUCAUUCAGACAAUAGAGAAACUGCAUGCCAUGGUGUUCUGUUUCCUUUGUCAGGUAAAUAUGGAAGGGUUGUCUUGUAGAUUCAGAGACAUUUUGCAAGAUCUAACUGGAGAAAAGUGUUCUCUCACUUCACAAGAACACUCAGUAUAGGUGACUAAAUUCGCUAAACAUCUUGUCUUGACCGAUUUAUAUUGCGCAGUGCAAUGGUUAGUAUAUACAUUAAUGUGUUUUCCAUUGAGGAUCUCCAGCACUCACGAAACAACUAGCUCAAGGAUCUUUCAAAAUAAUUCAUUCAGCUAGACAACCAAAGGUAACUUCUAACACUUCCAUACCAGAAACUUUUUAGACAGUUUGCAGAUAUACUUGUAUGCACACGAAAAGAAAUUAAUACGAUAGCGCACACAUAGUAAAUCUGGAAUCUAGCUUUACAAGUGUAGUUUGUACAAAAUACAUUGAAAAGCUAGUGUCGCAAGCAUAAAUAGACUGGAAUAUUUAGAGAUAUCUACUACUAUCUCCGUCCGGAAUUAAUUGACGCUCAAACGGAUGUAUCUAGGAAGUACAGUACUACUAUAUUGGAACAGCGAUAUUGAUUAUUAGAAUUACUGACUUCCAGGUGGUGGCCCUCGCAGAAGCAUGCUUUCUCUCUUCAGUUUUUCUGCCCUGACAGUCUCUAACUUGCGCCUAUCAAUACUCUUCUCUCCAGGUUCUUUUGGAGGUCUGCCUCUUUUUUUAGGUUG
rnacentral:lncRNA from 1 species